rnacentral:rRNA from 1 species
UACGUAGGGAGCGAGCGUUGUCCGGAUUUAUUGGGCGUAAAGCGCGCGUAGGCGGUUUGGUAAGCCGGGUGUGAAACCCUCGAGCUCAACUCGGGGCGGCCACUCGGAACUGCUAUGACUUGAGUCUGGUAGGGGAACACGGAAUACCUGGUGUAGCGGUGAAAUGCUUAGAUAUCAGGUGGAACACCAGUGGCGAAGGCGGUGUUCUGGGCCAGUACUGACGCUGAGGCGCGAAAGCCAGGGGAGCAAACGGG